GAUCACACUCGUGACGAGACAUAAUCUAUGGAGGCUUCCGCUUUCAAGUGGGAUCCUCUAUAGACCUCAGUGUUGUGCUCUUGUGUUAGUGAGAGAGUACGACACUGGUCUGGGUCCUGGCAAAGAAGAACUCCAGGAUAAAGAUGGCGGCAGCCGCAACGGAGAUCUUUAGGUAAGUGAACCUACCUUCCACUGCAACCCACAACCAAUGGACCGUACCUGGAG